AACGAACGCUGGCGGCAUGCCUAACACAUGCAAGUCGAACGAGACCUUCGGGUCUAGUGGCGCACGGGUGCGUAACGCGUGGGAACCUGCCCUUAGGUUCGGAAUAACUCCCCGAAAGGGGUGCUAAUACCGGAUAAUGUCUUCGGACCAAAGAUUUAUCGCCUUUGGAUGGGCCCGCGUUGGAUUAGCUAGUUGGUAGGGUAAAAGCCUACCAAGGCGACGAUCCAUAGCUGGUCUGAGAGGAUGAUCAGCCACACUGGGACUGAGACACGGCCCAGACUCCUCCGGGGGGCAGGGGGGGGGAAUAUUGGAAAAGGGGCGAAAGCCUGAUCCAGCAAGGCCGGGUGAGUGAUGAAGGCCUUAGGGUUGUAAAGCUCUUUUACCCGGGAUGAUAAGGACAGGACCGGGAGAAUAAGCCCCGGCUAACUCCGU
rnacentral:rRNA from 1 species